GGCACCCCGUGAAACAUGGUGCCGCAGGUGGUAGUGUAGAGGGAAAUUUUGGGGAAAAUGUUUUCCUUCUUUUACCUGUUAAUUUCACUUUCCCUGCAUUAUUCUUCCAUUUAUCUUUCAUAUCUGUUAUUAUUUGUCGUUUCCCUUUCCAUUUCUGUUAUUUUCAUGUUUCUCUUCUUUUAUUUGUUAACUUGAGAUAUGAAUUUACAAAAAUGAAAUAAAUAUGAAUUGAGAUAUGAGUAUGAAUUUAUUUGCCUAAUUUCUUUCUUUUCUAUGUUAAAUGGAGAUGAAUAUAAAUUUAGGAACUUUGGCAUUCUAGAGAAUCUAUGUUCAUAAAGCCUGUUCACUGAAGGGCAAUCCAAGUUGAAGAUACAUCUUCUAUGUUUAAGACUGCUGCUAAAAUAAUUGAAGAACACGACGUUGAGGUCUCUCUCCUAAAUAUUACUAUCCGCAAGAGAAAAAUGAGAUAUGGAAAAGAAAGGGAAACAAAAGAAAGGAGCUCCAUGAAAUGUUUCUGCCUAUUUUAUUUCGUAACAAUGUUUCCUGUAAUUGUUCUUGGUGUAAAAGUUCAUUGUAAUCGUGAUAUGUUAUUCGAUCAUUACUGUAUAUAUGUAUUUAUUAACAAGUUCGAACAAUAUGAAUUACCAAUAUAGAACAAUCUCUUGUAUCAAUUAAUAUGAAGUAGAUAUUGUGAUGUAUUAUUACGCUUGCAUCUAAACAUAAUCUUCGUGCCUUCGCAUUUUCAUUUGUUCUUGG
rnacentral:lncRNA from 1 species